UUUUUUUAAGUACUAAUCCUCUUAAAAAGAUCUUUAAUAAAUAGGUAUUUGAUGUUAACAAAUGUGUAUCACAGGAUCAAAUACAUGUAUAUCAUGCCUGUUCUAUAAUAUAAAAAAUAGUCACUCAUUUGUGUAAUAAAAUGUUACCAUUU